UUUUAUUGUGUGGAGCCAGAGGAAACAUGAGGAACAACCAGGCACCAACAGCACAUUAAGAAGAUGUCAAUGCAUGCACAUUAACAGCAUGUCAAUGCAUGCACAUUAACAGCAUGUCAAUGAGAAGUGAAUCCAGAUUCUGUUUUUAAGGGCAUUAUAUUCCAAGAAAGAUGAGAGGAGCUGACACAUCUGUCUCACACCAGCAUUGUAUCUAGUGUUGUCUAAAGGAGGAUUCCUGCCUCAAGGAACCAGCAGCCUUCAGGUGUGAUCUGAUAAGAUGCAGAACACCAUAACGGAGACAUUUCUACUAGGUUUGGUGGGGAAAAAGGCUGCAUGUUUGGCUGCAUGUUUGCUGAGAAUGGAAGCGAUACAGCAGUGCCCACAGCCUAAAACCUAUUAUGUGAUGAAUUAUCUGGAAUAAACAGUAAAGGUAGUGGAA